GGCAUGCAAGCCUACUGCCCCCCUGUCACGGACACAGAUCUAUCUAGAUGCUGCUGGCAGGGAAUAUGGAGAUGUUUAGGAAGAAUCUUGGAAGUGUUGGGACCCGCCAUGCCAUGGGAUUUCACUCUUGAACAUCUGUGGAAUCCCGAGAAACUGAGCCAGCAUUUGAGUCAGGGAUGGUACGGCUUAUGUGGGGCUUGGCUUGUGCCUACCACGCUCUGUAUAAUACUAUUCUGGAGAGAGAGAGUUUCCAAGAUGAGGUGCAAGCCAAAGGGGGAAAUCUUCAAGUCAAACCUGAUCAGUCACAGCAGACACCAGUAACAAUGUCAGUAACCCCUGUAGAAGACAAGAAAUGGAAGCAGGUGUCCUCACGUCUAGAGUGGAAAAAAGAAGAAGAAGACAAACUGGAGAGGGAGGUAGAGGAAGAUCCAGGCGAGGGGACUUCCUCAGAACCAAGAAAGGCAAAAGCAAAAACCAAGAGGCAUGAAGAGGAAAGCGAUGAAGAGGGGAUCUCUAUCACUGUUCAUCAACCUCUCAAGAUGACUGAAAUCCAAAGCUCAAGAAAGGAAUUUACACGACACCCGAAUGAAACUCUUGUCACCCGGUUGCUUCGCUGUUGGGAUGGUGGGGCCAGUAGCUUGUCUCUAGAUGGUAACAAAGCCCACCAACUAGGAGACAUUGCCAGAGACAAAUCUAUUGACAGAGGAAUUAGUAGAUGUUUGGAUGGAGCUGCAACCCUCUGGGACCGAAUAUUAAUAGCUGUGAGGGAAAGGUAUCCCUACAAAAGUAUUCUGCAGCCUGCAAUGAAGAUGUGGGAUACAACUGUGAAAGGUAUCCAGUACUUGAGGGAAAUAGCCCUGGUGGAAAUGUUAUAUGACUCUAAUUUUGCUCCUAAUGAUCCACGCCAAAACCAUGACAGAAUGUAUUCCCUCAACAUGUACACAUGAGCUGAUAAAGUGAAUUUACAAGAUACAAAGUGGCUGCUCAUAUGCUCAUAAUUUUUUUCAGUAUUUUUCUUGAAUACUGGACUCAUAGCCUUCAGUACUAUCUAU
ensembl:lncRNA